GCAAGGCGCCGCGCCCGCCGCCCGGCAAAGACGAAGAAUUCGGAAGGGGACAAUCAGCAACGCAGCAGAAGGUUGGAAGGCACGAUGAUCAAUGAACUGAGUUUGCUCCAGUCAGCAAAGGUGUGCUUGGACGCAACCCAAAGCGGGCCAAGUCAAGCCAGCCCAAUAAACUGUACUCAUACAGUCAUACUGUAGUUGCACAAAGAUCUAUAACAGCAGUGUGCGGAAGCAUCAAGUGCGCCGUGAUCCUCGUGUCUGGAUGUCCGCUGGUGGUGGAGCUGUACGUGGGUGCCCUGGAUGCGCUAGUGGCGGCGUGGCUGCCGAGCACGGAGGGGCGCCAGAGCGUCAGCGAUGUGUUGUUCGGCGACUACGGGUUCAUGGGGAAGCUGGGGACGUGGUUCAGGUCGGUGGAGCAGCUGUCCAUGAAUGUUGGCGAUGCGCACUACGAUCCCCUGUUUCUGUUUGGGUUCGGCUCACCACAUGGGCAACAACUUGAUUAGGAGACAACCGAGAGGAGGGAAAUUCAACAUUUGAGAUAGGCCGCUCACGUGGAUGUGCAGUCUUGCCUUUGCCAAAGACAAUCAACCAACCUUCGAGGUUUCACAAGUAUAUGUCAAUGGAGCAGAUUUGGGUCAUUGUCUUUUGUUUGUUGUUGCCAAAAGAACACAGGAUAAGGUUUUGUUUGGUAUGGCUCCUUGUGGCUCUCUUUUGCUUUGGUUGUACGAACAGCUUCAUUGUAAUUCUUGUGAUAUGUGAGGUACAUCAUU